UACGUAGGUGGCAAGCGUUGUCCGGAUUUACUGGGCGUAAAGAGCGCGCAGGCGGUCGUUCAAGUCGCGUGUGAAAGCCCCCGGCUCAACUGGGGAGGGUCACGCGAUACUGAUCGAAUGGAAGGCAGGAGAGGGUAGUGGAAUUCCCGGUGUAGUGGUGAAAUGCGUAGAUAUCGGGAGGAACACCAGUGGCGAAGGCGACUACCUGGCCUGUUCUUGACGCUGAGGCGCGAAAGCUAGGGGAGCAAACGGG
rnacentral:rRNA from 1 species